GGUCCCGUAGCUCAGCUGGAUAGAGCAACUGCCUUCUAAGUAGUAGGUCUUUGGUUCGAAUCCAAACGGGAUCACCA
rnacentral:tRNA from 1 species